UAAUACGUAAGGGGCUAGCGUUGCUCGGAAUUACUGGGCGUAAAGGGCGUGUAGGCGGUCUGGGGCGUCCCAUGUGAAAGACCACGGCUCAACCGUGGGGGAGCGUGGGAUACGCUCAGGCUAGACGGCGGGAGGGGGUGGUGGAAUUCCCGGAGUAGCGGUGAAAUGCGCAGAUACCGGGAGGAACGCCUAUAGCGAAGGCAGCCACCUGGCUCGUUUGUGACGCUGAGGCGCGAAAGCGUGGGGAGCAAACCGGAUUAGAUACCCGGGUAGUCCACGCCCUAAACGAUGCGCGCUAGGUCUCUGGGUUAUCUGGGGGCCGAAGCCAACGCGUUAAGCGCGCCGCCUGGGGAGUACGGCUGCAAGGCUG
rnacentral:rRNA from 1 species